rnacentral:rRNA from 1 species
UUAACGGCUGCAACGAGAGUUGUGCUAAGGUAGCGUGAUAAGUUGUCUUUUAAUUGGAGAAUGGUAUGAAUGGUUUAACGUAGAAUAACUGUCUUUGGAAAAUAAAAUUAAGUUUCCAUGUAAGUGAAAAGGCUUAUAUUUUUGUAAAAGACGAGAAGACCCUGUCGAGCUUAAUUAAAAUUGUUUGUUUAUAUCAAAUUAGAAUUUUUAUUGGGGCAAUAUAAAUCAAAAUAACGGUUUAAUAACUAGAUAAAGAUCCUUGUCGAAAGAAAAUAGCAAAACGUACCGCAGGGAUAACAGCGUUAUCCUUCUUAAGAGAUCGAAUUGAGAGAACCCUUUGCGACCUCGAUGUUGGAUUAUAGAAA